CGGCGUGCUUAACACACGCAAGUCGAACGAAGCACUUUAUUUGAUUUCCUUCGGGACUGAUUAUUUUGUGACUGAGUGGCGGACGGGUGAGUAACGCGUGGGUAACCUGCCUUGUACAGGGGGAUAACAGUUGGAAACGGCUGCUAAUACCGCAUAAGCGCACAGUAUCGCAUGAUGCAGUGUGAAAACCUCCGGUGGAAUAAGAUGGACCCGCGUUGGAUUAGCUAGUUGGUGAGGUAACGGCCCACCAAGGCGACGAUCCGUAGCCGACCUGAGAGGAUGACCGGCCACAUUGGAACUGAGACACGGUCCAAACUCCUACGGGAGGCAGCAGUGGGGAAUAUUGCACAAUGGGCGAAACCCUGAUGCAGCGACGCCGCGUGAGUGAAGAAGUAUUUCGGUAUGUAAAGCUCUAUCAGCAGGGAAGAUAAUGACGGUACCUGACUAAGAAGCUCCGGCUAAAUACGUGCCAGCAGCCGCGGUAAUACGUAUGGAGCAAGCGUUAUCCGGAUUUACUGGGUGUAAAGGGAGCGCAGGCGGCAGUGCAAGUCAGAUGUGAAAGCCCGGGGCUCAACCCCGGUGCUGCAUUGGAAACUGUUGUGCUAGAGUGUAGGAGAGGCAAGCGGAAUUCCUAGUGUAGCGGUGAAAUGCGUAGAUAUUAGGAGGAACACCAGUGGCGAAGGCGGCUUGCUGGACUAUUACUGACGCUGAGGCUCGAAAGCGUGGGGAGCAAACAGGAUUAGAUGCCCUGGUAGUCCACGCCGUAAACG
rnacentral:rRNA from 1 species